CCUACGGGGGGCAGCAGUAGGGAAUAUUGCUCAAUGGGGGCAACCCUGAAGCAGCAACGCCGCGUGUAGGAUGAAGGUUUUCGGAUUGUAAAGUCCUUUUGGUAGGGAAGAUAAUGGCGAUGUCUAACGAAUAAGCACCUGCUAACUCCGUUCCAGCAGCCGCGGUAAUACGGAGGGUGCGAGCGUUACUAGGAAUCACUGGGCGUAAAGAGAGCGUAGGCGGGAUGGCAAGUCAGAUGUGAAAUCCUAUGGCUUAACCAUAGAACUGCAUUUGAAACUGUUAGUCUAGAGUAUGGGAGAGGUAGGUAGAAUUCUUGGUGUAGGGGUGAAAUCCGUAGAGAUCAAGAGGAAUACCGAUUGCGAAGGCGACCUGCUAGAACAAAACUGACGCUGAUGCGCGAAAGCGUGGGGAGCAAACAGGAUUAGAUACCCUUGUAGUC
rnacentral:rRNA from 1 species